rnacentral:rRNA from 1 species
UUUAAUUCUAGUGGCGGACGGGUGAGUAACGCGUGGGUAACCUGCCUUAUACAGGGGGAUAACAGUCAGAAAUGGCUGCUAAUACCGCAUAAGCGCACAGAGCUGCAUGGCUCGGUGUGAAAAACUCCGGUGGUAUAAGAUGGACCCGCGUUGGAUUAGCUUGUUGGUGGGGUAACGGCCCACCAAGGCGACGAUCCAUAGCCGGCCUGAGAGGGUGAACGGCCACAUUGGGACUGAGACACGGCCCAGACUCCUACGGGAGGCAGCAGUGGGGAAUAUUGCACAAUGGGGGAAACCCUGAUGCAGCGACGCCGCGUGGAGGAAGAAGGUCUUCGGAUUGUAAACUCCUGUUGUUGAGGAAGAUAAUGACGGUACUCAACAAGGAAGUGACGGCUAACUACGUGCCAGCAGCCGCGGUAAAACGUAGGUCACAAGCGUUGUCCGGAAUUACUGGGUGUAAAGGGAGCGCAGGCGGGAGAACAAGUUGGAAGUGAAAUCCAUGGGCUCAACCCAUGAACUGCUUUCAAAACUGUUUUUCUUGAGUAGUGCAGAGGUAGGCGGAAUUCCCGGUGUAGCGGUGGAAUGCGUAGAUAUCGGGAGGAACACCAGUGGCGAAGGCGGCCUACUGGGCACCAACUGACGCUGAGGCUCGAAAGUGUGGGUAGCAAACAGGAUUAGAUACCCUGGUAGUCCAUGCCGUAAACGAUGAUUACUAGGUGUUGGAGGAUUGACCCCUUCAGUGCCGCAGUUAACACAAUAAGUAAUCCACCUGGGGAGUACGACCGCAAGGUUGAAACUCAAAGGAAUUGACGGGGGCCCGCACAAGCAGUGGAGUAUGUGGUUUAAUUCGAAGCAACGCGAAGAACCUUACCAGGUCUUGACAUCCGAUGCAUAGUGCAGAGAUGCAUGAAGUCCUUCGGGACAUCGAGACAGGUGGUGCAUGGUUGUCGUCAGCUCGUGUCGUGAGAUGUUGGGUUAAGUCCCGCAACGAGCGCAACCCUUAUGGUCAGUUACUACGCAAGAGGACUCUGGCCAGACUGCCGUUGACAAAACGGAGGAAGGUGGGGAUGACGUCAAAUCAUCAUGCCCUUUAUGACUUGGGCUACACACGUACUACAAUGGCGUUAAACAAAGAGAAGCAAGACCGCGAGGUGGAGCAAAACUCAGAAACAACGUCCCAGUUCGGACUGCAGGCUGCAACUCGCCUGCACGAAGUCGGAAUUGCUAGUAAUCGUGGAUCAGCAUGCCACGGUGAAUACGUUCCCGGGCCUUGCACACACCGCCCGUCA